rnacentral:lncRNA from 10 species
CUCAUGGCUCUUUUAAAUAGGACAUGACUAUAUGUGACAGAGUGACCUUAACAGGUGCUGGAUGGGUAAGGGGGUGGGGUGAUCAAGGAGAUCUGGGAGGAAGUGAGGUGGGUCAACACCACAGUUGUAAUGACAGAUGUCACUUGUUGAGGGCCAGAGGGAGCCAGAAGCCAGACCGCACAUCAGCCACUGACAUACAUUAUCUCCUUUCAGUACUCAAAACAAUGCUGUGUGGUAAAUAUCAGUGCCAGUUCACACAUAAAGGACCUGAGCCCCUGAGAGGGUCAGUAACCUGCAGCUUCCAAAUGGACCUGCUGUCCCUUGUCCCCAGACCUGUGUCCAUCCUCUGCCUCCUUCUCUGACUGGUUCACUCCUGGUUACCAUUUGGUUGAGUUCUGAAGGCUGGGAAGUCCAAGAUCAAGGCAUCAGCAUCUGGUGUCUAAAGAGUGUAUAUUCUCUGCUUCCAAGAUGGCACCUUGAAUGCCACAUCCUCCAGAGGGGAGGAACACUGUGUCUUCAUAUGGAAGAAGAGCAGAAGAGAAAAAGAACUCACUCCCACAAGCCCUUUUUAUAGUGGCAUUAAUCCAUUCAUGAGGACAGAGCCCUCACGAUCUAAACACCUCCCAUGAGGCCCCACCUCCCUGCAUUGUUGCAUUUGGGAUUUAGUUUCUAGCAUGUGAAUUUUAGGGAGUAUAUUCAUACCACAGAUCCCACCCUGAAGCUGUAUACACUGCAUUGUCCUUGCCUGUUUUCUGCCCUGACCUUCCAUCUACACUGUGAGCAACCCAUGUCUUGCUUGGUUCCAUAUGUUUAAAUGAGUUAGUAAAUGUAAAAUGCACG